rnacentral:lncRNA from 1 species
GAGGGUGGGGCAGGAAGGACAGCUGGAGGAACUGAGAGCAACACCCUGAUGCAAAGGAUAAGUAGAGCUGAAGCAGGCAGAGAAGAAGUCUGUGGGUAUCAGUGGGGUAAUAACGUUAGAGGAAGGAAUAGCAAAUUCAAUGUGUCAGUGAUUAAAGAAAGUAGCACAAGUUCAAGGAUUUGAACAUAACGCGGCUGAAGGCACAGAGGAUGCCCCGCUUACUAGCUCUGUGAACUUGAAUAAGCUGCCUGAGAUACUUUGUCAGGUUUCUCUGAGACACAGUCUCCCAUUUGAAAAACAAAACGAUGCAUACCUCACAGAGUUGUGAGAAGUAAUGAAAGGAGCAGUGACAGAAUCUAGUUUGGUGUCUGACUACAGGAGAUGCUCAGUGUACUUUAGGGUUCUUAUAUAAUGAGAAUUUAGCAGCAAACAUAAACAUGUACUGCAGAAGGGAGCUGCUUUAAAAGAUUGACAUUUUCUAGGUUCAGGGUUACUACAGCAAUUAUUUGCAUUCCACCGUUCUUACGCUGUUCCCCAUGCUUGCAGGUGGGGCCCUCAGUUUGCUUUUCUUUGCAUCUAUCAUAGAUAUUUCCAUGAGGUGGAGCUGUGGUAGGUUCACGUCUCAACUCUUCUACUGACUGCUUAAAAAGAGUCAUGCCUAAAGCUCAUUAACCAAGGCUGAAUCCCAGAAUGCUGCUUCUUGUGGAUGGUGAGGACACGGAGAUGAGCAUUUUGCAGGUUUGGCAUGCCAUUGGAAGGUGCCAUUCUCAUGGAUUCCUCAUAGACCUUUCAUGGAUCCUGACAAUCUUUGAUUCUGAACCAGCAAGAUGUGGCUCAGUGCUUUGAAGACAACCUUGACCCUGGAUAGGAGCGUGCUGUGUGGACAUAAAUGCUGGUGCUACCCUGGUCAUCUCAGAUGCCUGAGGAAAAGGCCAAGGAAUUUCAAAUUUCUCUGUCUUUACCUCAUAUACUACUACAAUCUGGAUCUUGUAAGUCCCCUGAAGACCCAUCUGUUGAAGCCUUGGUAUUAUUGGGAAAAGGUAGUUGGAUCUUUAGAAGAUAGAGCCCGUUGGGGUGAAGUUAGAAAGUCAGAUCUCUAGGAGUACAUGCCUAUAAUGGGAACUAUAAAAUAUCAAUCUCUUCCUCUUUUUAAUUACUGACCAUCAGAUAAGCAGCUUCCUUGAUAAGGUGAGAUGCUUUUGUCAUGAUAUACAGUACUGCCUCACCAAAGGCUUAAAAGCAGUGAUCCAACCAACCGUGGACUGAAUCCUUCAAACCUAUGAACCAAAAUAAACCUUUACUCUUAUAUGUUGAUUAUCUUGGGUAUUUAGUUAUAGUAACAGAAACCUAACAUAGACAUGAAGCCAACACUAUCAAGUCUACCUCUGGAUCUCUUAUUAAAUACAAAUAAAUCCUUUUUAUUUAAUCCACUGUAAG